UACAGAGGGUGCAAGCGUUGUUCGGAAUCAUUGGGCGUAAAGGGCGUGUAGGCGGUCUGUUAAGUCAUGUGUGAAAUCCCUCGGCUCAACCGGGGAACGACGCAUGAAACUGACAAGCUAGAGUACCAAAGGAGGGGGGUGGAAUUCCCGGUGGUAGCGGUGAAAUGCGCAGAUAUCAGGAGGAACACCGGUGGCGAAGGCG
rnacentral:rRNA from 1 species